GGUCGUCUAGCUCAUUCGGUUAGAGCACUUCGCUGAUAACGAAGAGGUGCGGGGUUCAAAUCCCCGGAUGGCCA
rnacentral:tRNA from 3 species